rnacentral:rRNA from 1 species
CCUACGGGGGAAAGAUUUAUCGGGGAAGGAUUGGCCCGCGUUGGAUUAGCUAGUUGGUGGGGUAAAGGCCUACCAAGGCGACGAUCCAUAGCUGGUCUGAGAGGAUGAUCAGCCACAUUGGGACUGAGACACGGCCCAAACUCCUACGGGAGGCAGCAGUGGGGAAUAUUGGACAAUGGGCGCAAGCCUGAUCCAGCCAUGCCGCGUGAGUGAUGAAGGCCUUAGGGUUGUAAAGCUCUUUCACCGAUGAAGAUAAUGACGGUAGUCGGAGAAGAAGCCCCGGCUAACUUUGUGCCAGCAGCCGCGGUAAUACGAAGGGGGCUAGCGUUGUUUGGAAUUACUGGGCGUAAAGCGCACGUAGGCGGAUAUUUAAGUCAGGGGUGAAAUCCCAGAGCUCAACUCUGGAACUGCCUUUGAUACUGGGUAUCUUGAGUAUGGAAGAGGUAAGUGGAAUUGCGAGUGUAGAGGUGAAAUUCGUAGAUAUUCGCAGGAACACCAGUGGCGAAGGCGGCUCACUGGUCCGGUACUGACGCUGAGGUG